UUACCAGUGAGCGGCGGACGGGUGAGUAACACGUGGGCAACCUGGUCCUGGGAUGGGGGAUAACAUUUGGAAACAGAUGCUAAUACCGUCAUAAUAAUCAGAACCACAUGGUUUUGAUUUCAAAGAUGGCUUCGGCUAUCACUCCAGGAUGGGCCCGCGGUGCAUUAGCUAGUUGGUAAGGUAACGGCUUACCAAGGCGAUGAUGCAUAACCGAGUUGAGAGACUGAUCGGCCACAAUGGAGCUGAGACACGGUCCAUACUCC
rnacentral:rRNA from 1 species